UCGAUGGAACAAUGUAGGCAA
rnacentral:snRNA from 1 species